GGGCGACUGAAAGGGAUGAGCCCAGCGCGUAGCCUGCAGGCCCGCCCCACUAGAUGGGACCCGGGUCUGCGAGGGAUGCCGCGUAUGGGAGGGAUCAAGGGGGAGCUAGGCUCGACCUGAAUUAUAUAUUGAAUGUUGUCUCAAUGCCCACAGAGGGUGUAAGGCCCGUAAGGUCGGCGCUUAGCGUCUCUCGCUGGUUCCUCUCGAGAGUCGGGUUGCUUGAAAGUGCAGCCCUAAGUAGGUGGUAAACUCCAUCUAAGGCUAAAUACUCCCACGAGACCGAUAGCCUACAAGUACCGCGAGGGAAAGUUGAAAAGAACUCUGAAGAGAGAGUUCAAGAGAGCGUGAAACUACCACGAGGCUAAAGCGAGUGAGCGUUCGUGUCCCGUCGGCUGGACUCAACCUAUCCCGGACGAAGGCGGCGGAGGGUCGCAAUACGUAUGAGACGGAUCUCCCGCGAGUGACCCCGGAAUUUUCGGGCCUCGAGGGUUGACCGGCGUUUUCUCCGUGCGCACGAAAGGGGGAUGUACUUCCGGCAGAAUUGGGGCGUCGCGGCCGUUCGAGAGGUGUCGAAGACAAGAGGGUCUGGGAAACCGCUUUUUUCUCGCGAUUCGUCGCGGGAUGGGCGGGGCCGCUUCUUUGAUCUGACGGCCUUUCGGACGGUGAAAUCAUGGCUAAAGCGAGCCUGCGAUCGGCUCUGGCGCCCUCUCCCUCCUCUCC
rnacentral:rRNA from 1 species